UUUUUUCCCAUUCCCUUCCCUUACCUCCCCCUUUGAUUGUAGGUGGGUCGUAAUAGUCGUGGCCAGUGAUCAAAGGAGAAGGGAGAAGAGAGGAGUUAUAGAGAAGGGAAAGGAGGAAAGACGAGAAAAUGAGUAAGGAGGGGAGAGGCAGAUAAGGAGAAGGGAUGGUGGUGGUGAAUGAGGAAUAGAGGAAUGGUGAUGGUUGUUGUAGGAAAUUUUUAAAAAAUGCCAACAAUACCUAAUUCAAAUGGACCAUUUAUAGUAAAAAGUUUUAAAAUACAAUACUAUAAUAAAGUUUUUAAAAAAUAUCUCAAAAAUACUUAAUCCAUACGAAUCAUAGGUUGUGCUGCCAAUUGAGGUUGGUAAUGUUUUUAGAAUUGAAAAUUGCUAAAAUUAACUCAAGAAAGGGAUCAAAAAAGUUAUCUAUGUAGUGCCACAUCAAUUGGCUGUUAUAAUGUCCAAAUGACCCAUUUAGACUGUUUAUCAUUUUCCUUUCAUAAUUCAUCUUCCUCAAUUAUCAUCUUCUUAUAAUAAUAUUCCAUGCAAAUCUAGUUUUUGUUUUCCUUCUCCCUCCAUGCAAAUUCAAUUUUUGUGUUCAUCCUUCCUCCGCCAUCUAUAGGCACUUAAUAUAUUCACUUUUUAUGAUCAGUCAUACACAUACUAGAAAUAGCAAGAAAUUAUACGAAUAGAUGUUUAUGAAAAUUACUUAGAUUCACAAUUCCGUUUCAAUUUGCAAAUAGCAAUUUCUAGACUUUUUUACCUUUUGCAUAUGGACAUUGAUAGCUAAAUUUAUUGCAUUUCCCUUAUUUUUGGAAGACAAUAAGAUUGUAGUUUAGUCUUUGAUAUUUAAUGGAGUUAUUUUGUUCAAUUAUAUGAAAUAUGUUUUUAGUGUGUGGUGUUGAUUAAGAGAGAUUGCAAUUUGCACAUGAAGAUGGCCGAUGGUAUUCUGAUCUAGUUACUCGUAUUGUUAUUGAAUUAUUGUGAUGUUAGGUUUUCAUUAUAAUGAUAGUAAGGAAGAAGAUGAAGAUCACGAUUUAGAAUAAAGAGUCUAGGUGCAUAUAGCUUUUUAGGACUUCCAUUACUUCUCUAAUAUUAAGAAGUAAGAUUAAUGAUAAAAGCAAUAAGAAUAAAAUUGCAACAAAAAAAGAAAAUAAAAACAAUAGAUUUCAAAAAUAAAUUUGAUAAAAAGAAAGUUAAUAAGAAAAAAAGUCUCAAUUGUUGUUUCAUGAUUUAUUCUCCUUGAACACCAUUUUUCUCAUUCCUGUUUUCUUCAUUCUCUCUAUAUUUUCUCUAUUUUCUUUUUGUUCCUUUGUUUUCUUUUGCCCUUUCCACAAAUUAAUAAAUGAUUAGUUGCAAUUAUAGUAAACUCAAAUAGCAAGAGAUUAGAAAAUAAAUGAUCAAGGAACCAUUUGACACUCACAAUUUGAUUCUGAUUAUAGAAAAGCAAGUGAUAAUACCACAAUUUGUACAGCUCCAAUUUUAUUUUCAUAGCAAUUUAGGUUACAAUGCCUAUAUUGCCCUCAUAAAAGUAAACAUCAACUUAAGGGAUUGAUUGUUUCUCUUUCCUUUCCUUUCUUGUCGAUGAAAACAACAAUUCUUCUCGACAUUUUCUUUUAUUCCUUCACAACCGAUUUAUCUUCUUUCACAUACCCAUCACCACCACAUCAAUUUCCCUUCUCUCAUACUACCUCCGCUUUUCUUUCUUUUGAACUUUAUGCUCCUAGCCAAAUCUUCAUGGCUCCGUUUGAAUUAGUUAUUUUUGAAGGUGUUUUUGAAAUAUUUUACUAUGGUAAUGUAUGUGAAAAGCUUUUACUAUAGAUAUUUUUAAUGGUGUUUUUAGGGUGUUUUUGAAAUUUUUUUUUUGGAUAUUUUUAAGAUUUAAAAUUUUAAUGAGAUAUUUUUAAAAUUGCAUAAAACCUUACCACCACCCCUUCCCUCCUCCCUCCUCUUCCCUCUUUCUCUCCCAUAUUUUUUGGGAUAUUUGGGAUGUAUUUUGGGGUAUUUUUAUAAUUAAAAAUAUGUUUGGAUACUUUUUAAAAAAUUUACACCACUCACCACCACUAUCCAUCUCUACCACUGCCUCCCUCCUCCUCCUCCCUCUUCUUUCUCUCCCCUUCUUCCCUUUUCCCUCUCUUUCUCCUUUCUCCCCUCCCCCUUCUAUUCUUCCCUUCUUCUUCCUUCCUCUCUUUUUCCUUCCCCUUCUCCCGUCCCUACUAGACUCACCUGGAGAUUGUUGGCGCGACCUUCUAGGUCAUGACCAGAAAGGUCACGCCAAUAGUAGCGCUACCUUUUUGGUCGCGAUCAGAUCUGGUUGCGACCAGAAACUCAUGACUAGUGCAACCAAAAGGUCACAGCUAGAGCUGCUAUUGGUUCUUGGAAGACGAGAGGAGAGGGAGGAGGAGGAAGGAGAAGGAGGAAGGAGAAGGAGGAGGAGGAGAAGGAGAAGAGUAGGGAAGAAAGGAGAAAAAGGAAGGGGGAUGAGAGAGGAGGGGAGGAACAACGGUGGAGGUAAUAGUGAUGGUGAAGGAGAGAGAAGGGAGUGGUAGAUGGUGGUGGUGGGUGGUAGUGAUCGGAGGAAGAAGAAAAGGUGAUAGGAUUUAUUUGUUGUAAGUUGUAUUUGAAAUAUAAGGAGUGUUUUUUGGUGGUAUUUUUGGAGUGUGUUAUUGUAGAUUUGUAGAUAAAAAAUAAGUAUUUCAAAAACUCUCAAAUAUUUUUCCAAUUUAUGUUUCUAGGAAUAAAAAUUCUUGCAAGUUCAUAGUAAAUUUCUUUGAUCAAAUUAGAGUGAUGCCAUGGGCUUUUACAUUCUUUUGUGUUUUAGCUUGGGAUGAAAUUUUAUGAAUACAACUGAUAGCAAACAACUCGAUUCCCUAUGCACUUUGUUGGAAAGAAUGUCUUGCUUAAGUUUUCUUCAGGAAUCAGGCCCUUUUAUUUGAUUGCAAAGUCAAAGGUCUUGAAAGUUAAAUCUCCUAAUAUCUUUGUCCUGCUAGAAAUUUCUUUUGUAUAUGUGUCAAAAAAAAAAAAAACUUAGACGUGUUCCCUUUCAUUGAAACUAUGGUUUAGGGAGAAUGGUAUAUGAGACUUAUUCAUGGGCAGAGGAGAAGGGAUAGAGGCAUCAGCGUAUUGCAAGGUAGGAACUAGAAUAUGAGAAAAAGGGCAAAAAGAAAGAGAAAUAAAAAGGCAUGAAUGGCGGGAAUGUGCCUAUAGUGUGGUUGGUAGGGUACAUGCAAUUUGUGAGCUUUGUAUUGACUUUGAUAGGAUAUUAUGAGUAUUAAAGAUAAUAUUGCUAUGAAAAUAAAAUUGGAGAUGUGGCAUUAUCAAUUGCCUAAUACAAAUAACAGGAUCUUGUUCCUUUUUUAAUAGAUAUUAAUAGUUGAAUAUAUAGUUUUUUUUUUAGAGGUUUGUACUUUGGACUUAAUGUCUAAUAGAGUUCUUUUGUUAGAUAAAACAGGGUUUGGAAAUAAAGUCAUUAGCCUUUUUUUACUCGUUCAUUCUAGGUAUAAAUUUUUGGUAAUCGGACUAAAUUAAAAGAGAAUCACAAAAGGAAUAUUGAUGACAACCAGAUUUUAGUUGUCAUUAUUUGCUAUUAUGGUACUAGAGUGUUAACGGAGAAAUCAAAGAGAUCUGGCUAAGGUUUUAGGUAAAUGGUAUUUUGAAAUUUUUAAUACAUUUUAUCAACAUUAAUUGGUGAUAAGAAAUCAAUUUUAGUAGCUAAGAAUAAAGGUCUCUUUAUUAUAGAUUUGUGCAUUUGAAAACAAAUUUUGCUAUUUGAUUAAAUCUCAAGGUCGUACUUAUAGUUUGGCUAAAUUUGAGAGGAGGUAAAUAAUUAACCGCUCUUUUGAACGUCAAAUAACAAUAAUACUAAUUUACAUCUAUAGGUUGGAAAGAGAUAGUGGACUUAACGGGACCAUGGCCCGCAAAAACCAGAAGGAGAGAGCUUUUCUUAAGAUUUGAAAAGUAUACUAUUGCACACAAAUUUAACUUGUAAGCUAUAGCUACUCAAUGGGAAUUAAUGUGCAAAAGCUGUGGCAUUCAUGGGGAUUUAAUGUGCAAAAGGUGUGGAAUUCAACAUUAAUGUGCAAAAGUUUUGGUAUGGCAUAGAAUAGAGUAUGUAGAUUAGGGCAUUCGUUUCUUGACCUAUAGUUGAGGAAGUAUCCAAGUGAUAUCCUGGUGCUUUGGUUGGAUACUGUGAUUAAGGAAAGAAUUUAAGAUAUGGCUCUGUUUGGAUUAGUUAUUUUUCCCAUAAACUGUUUUUAUUUGUGGAAUCUCCAGUUAUAAAUACAAAAAAUAACUUUUAGAAUACACAAUUUCAAAUACAACUUACAAAAAAAGUAAAAGAUAAAAAUAAAUCCUACCACUUUUGGUUCUUUCACCUAUCACACGGCACCGCCGCUACCCCUUCCCUCCUCUCUCCUCCAUUCUUGCCAUCCUCCUCCGUUGCCAGUACCUUCUCCUUCUUUCUCCUUCCUCUCCCUCCUCUCCUAUCCCUCCUAUAUCAUUUCUCUUCUCGCUUCCAUUCUUUUCCCUUUUUCUACUAUUAUUUUCCCUUCUCUUCCCUUGUCGAUCCCUUCUCCCUUUUUCCCCUUCCCUUCUCCCAUUUUCCUAUUUUGGUCAUGACUAGAAAGAGAAGAAGAGGGGAAGAGGAUGGUGGGAAAAGAGAAUAAAAGGGGAAGAGGAAAGAGAUGGUAGUGGCGGAAGAGAGUAACGAUGGUAGAGAAGGAAGGAGAGAAGGGUGGAGGUUA
rnacentral:lncRNA from 1 species